rnacentral:rRNA from 1 species
ACAUGCCUACAUCAUAGCGUUAAUGCACCAGAUCCCAUUAGAACUCCACAGUUAAGCAUGCUUAGGCUAGAGUAGUACUGGGAUGGGUGACUUCCCAGGAAGUUCUAGUGUUUUACAUGCC